rnacentral:tRNA from 1 species
GCUGUCGUGGCCGAGUGGUUAAGGCGAUGGACUUGAAAUCCAUUGGGAUCUUCCCGCGUAGGUUCGAAUCCUGCCGGCAGCG